UGGGGUGAAGUCGUACCAAGGUAGCCGUAUCGGAAGGGUGCGGCUGGAUCACCUCCUUUCU
rnacentral:rRNA from 1 species